CAGGUAACCGUUCAGCAGUGCUGUGCUGCCAGAAAUGCUCGCUGAGCCCGUGCGAGGAGGAAAUCUUACCAGAACUGCUGAGAUUAUCCCAGAAAGACCCUUUGCAGAUUGACUCCGCAUCCUCAGAGCUGAUCUGAUCGGGGCCUACCAAAGACAUUAACGACGUCGAAAGUAGCCUACUUUAAGAGAAAAUAUGCAGAAGAAGAACAUUUACAUCAAGAUUACCAUGAGUAUUGUCCAAAACACCUGAUACUAUCCGAGGACCGGACUUGUAUUUUAAAACUUUCUCUCCAGAAACUCCGAUUCCUGGAUGACCCUGAAGCCUAUCUCCGUAGGUCUGUAUUAAUUAACAAUCUGUUGAGGAAGAUUCACCUAGAGACAGAGAGGGAGAGCUAUGAAUACUUUAAGGAGGCUCCGUGUUAUAGGACUGCUUACUCUGAUGCACGAAAACGGCUGAAGUUUAUGGUACAGGAGUGCUGUUCCCAGUCGCUCUAUUAUGAAGAGCUGCAUUCGUAUCGCAUCGUGCCUUACUCUGCAGAGAACGCCGUUUACGGAAUGGGCUACACGAGCAGCCACUUGGAGCAAAAUUCUCAAUUGCUUAUUUAUAAAAUGAAUUAAAGUAGCUGUUAGACCCA